ACUUAACUGAAUUUUAUAACGCUGAUCGAUAUCUUGGUAAAAUAUUCAUUUUUAAACUAACGGGCAGUGAAAUCUUUGCUUUGUGUGCUAAAGUCAACAGUCGCCCGGUUUGAGCUCAAAUAAAUGCGGGGAUGCCUGGGCUGGGAGCAGUCGGCCGCCUCCCUCUGCGUGCUGGACGCUCCACCGACAGCCCGCCGACCCGCAGCUCCUCAGGCCAGAAGCCCACCUGCGGCAAACACAAAGGUUCUAUGCGUUUGAGGAUUUUUUUUCUUUUCUUUUUUCUUUUCCACAUUAUCAAGACCCACAGGAGGAGGAAAAAAAAAAAAGCCUUCCGUAUAUAUUUCCUGCUGGGUGGUCAGAAGGAGAGGCCAGGAAGCCAAAGGCCUCCCAUUGAGUAGCUGCCCUGUGAAGAGAGGACCUCACGUGCCGCCUGCCGCAGCGGGAGAAGCAGGCACCUGUCGGUCUGUGACUGUCCGAGGGUCGAUUCCAAACUCUGAAGGCCACGCGCCGCCCCUACCCCCACGCCCCAAACCUGCAGGGGUUCCGGCAGAGAAACGCCCACCCAACACGCCCAUCCAGGACUCAGAACAUUAUGAAAAUAUCCAUGUAGCUAUUGAGCCACUAAGUAUCAAUUGUUUACUGACAUUAGUAUUAAAUUGAAAGGGUUUAGUUUAUGUGUGGGGGUAUGUGUGCAUGAUCAUGUGUGCAGAUAAGUGCGAGGGUAUAUAUAUGGGUGUUCCAUCUUAUAUGUCACCUAGGAGAUGUGAUGAAAUAUGGGGCAAGGUUUCUAGUUAGAAUUUGAAAAUGUUUGAUGGUGUCAUGAAUUUUUAAAAAGAACUCUAUAAAAUAUGUAUUUAUAUGACUUUGUAUAGGCAUUUGGAUGAGGACUAUUUUUGGGUAAGGAUUGUAAUAAAGCUAUCAAGUUCAA